rfam:Triticum urartu cultivar G1812 contig185603, whole genome shotgun sequence.
CAUAUACUCCCUCCAUCCCAAAUUAGUUGACUUGAAUUUGUCCAAAUACGGAUGUAUCUAUACUUGUUUAGUGUCUAGAUACAUCCAUGUCUAGAUAAAUAUGGGUCAAUUAAUUUGAAACGGAGGAAGUAUAUG